rnacentral:rRNA from 1 species
UACAGAGGUCUCGAGCGUUGUUCGGAUUCAUUGGGCGUAAAGGGCGCGUAGGCGGCGGGGUAAGUCUGGUGUGAAAUCUCGGAGCUCAACUCCGAAAUUGCACUGGAUACUGCUCUGCUAGAGGGCUGGAGAGGAGAUCGGAAUUCACGGUGUAGCAGUGAAAUGCGCAGAUAUCGGGAGGAACACCGGUGGCGAAGGCGGUUCUCUGGGCCUGACCUGACGCUGAGGAGCGAAGGCCAGGGGAGCAAACGGG